GUCUCGACUCAGAGGUUAGAUCUCCAUGGCGUGUUGCUUCCACCAUUCUAAGAAUAAUCGUUGCAACAACUCCGUUAUGGAUGUCUAUGGGAUUAUAAGAAUCGAUCUGAUUGUUAUCGUCACAAACACUCCUUCAUAAACAGAUUUACCUCCUCUCUCUCUCUGUUUCUCCUGAAUUCCCGGGAAACAUAACAUGCUUUUACAAAAUUUUAGUUAUUUGGGUUCAACUUUAUCUAGCAUUAGUUAACUUUUUGUUCUUGAUUCAUCAUGCACUCCAUGGCAUAUAUUUGACUAAAUGUCUUAAUGAAAUUUCAUACAAUUCCAGGCAUAUAUUUGUGCUUGUUUAAUGAUUCCUAAGGUAACUUGGAGCACCAAUGGAACCGAACACGCCAAUGACAAAACUAAGGAAGGCGGAAAAUGGGAAGAAUUCAUGACACCCACAACAAAACACAUGUAGACAAUGACUUUGAAGUAUCAUAUCAUCUUCAUCUUGGUUGUUUUUGUUAGUUUAUGUUUUAGAACUCGCAAGUUAUAGAUCUUUACAUUUUUUAUUUUAUUUUUUCACAUGUAUUGUUCUAUCUAAGCACAUUUCCUCCAUAUAUUGUGAGUUCAUAGAAAUUUGUAAAUUUUU
rnacentral:lncRNA from 1 species